rnacentral:rRNA from 1 species
CAGUCGCCGCGGUAAUACGUAGGGUGCAAGCGUUAAUCGGAAUUACUGGGCGUAAAGCGUGCGCAGGCGGUUAUAUAAGACAGAUGUGAAAUCCCCGGGCUCAACCUGGGAACUGCAUUUGUGACUGUAUAGCUAGAGUACGGCAGAGGGGGAUGGAAUUCCGCGUGUAGCAGUGAAAUGCGUAGAUAUGCGGAGGAACACCGAUGGCGAAGGCAAUCCCCUGGGCCUGUACUGACGCUCAUGCACGAAAGCGUGGGGAGCAAACAGGAUUAGAUACCCCAGUAGUCCCUGUCCUUAUACA